rnacentral:rRNA from 1 species
UACGGAGGGUGCAAGCGUUAUCCGGAUUCACUGGGUUUAAAGGGUGCGUAGGCGGGCAGGUAAGUCCGUGGUGAAAUCUCUGAGCUUAACUCAGAAACUGCCAUGGAUACUAUUUGUCUUGAAUGUUGUGGAGGUAAGCGGAAUAUGUCAUGUAGCGGUGAAAUGCUUAGAUAUGUCAUAGAACACCGAUUGCGAAGGCAGCUCACAAAGCCAUUAUUGACGCUGAGGCACGAAAGCGUGGGGAUCAAACAGG